rnacentral:rRNA from 1 species
GACGAACGCUGGCGGCGUGCCUAAUACAUGCAAGUUGAGCGAUGAAGAUUGGUGCUUGCACCAAUUUGAAGAGCAGCGAACGGGUGAGUAACGCGUGGGGAAUCUGCCUUUGAGCGGGGGACAACAUUUGGAAACGAAUGCUAAUACCGCAUAACAACUUUAAACAUAAGUUUUAAGUUUGAAAGAUGCAAUUGCAUCACUCAAAGAUGAUCCCGCGUUGUAUUAGCUAGUUGGUGAGGUAAAGGCUCACCAAGGCGAUGAUACAUAGCCGACCUGAGAGGGUGAUCGGCCACAUUGGGACUGAGACACGGCCCAAAAUCCUACGGGAGGCAGCAGUAGGGAAUCUUCGGCAAUGGACGAAAGGCUGACCGAGCAACGCCGCGUGAGUGAAGAAGGUUUUCGGAUCGUAAAACUCUGUUGGUAGAGAAGAAAGUUGGUGAGAGUGGAAAGCUCAUCAAGUGACGGUAACUACCCAGAAAGGGACGGCUAACUACGUG